UGGAUGAUGUGUUUAAUUCGAUGCAACGCGAAAAACCUUACCCACCUUUGACAUGGCAGGAAUCCUGAAGAGAUUUGGGAGUGCUCGAAAGAGAACCUGCACACAGGUGCUGCAUGGCUGUCGUCAGCUCGUGUCGUGAGAUGUUGGGUUAAAGUCCCCGCAACGAGCGCAACCCUUGCCAUUAGUUGCUACGAAAAGGGCACUCUAAUGAGACUGCCGGUGACAAACCGGAGGAAGGUGGGGAUGACGUCAAGUCCUCAUGGCCCUUAUAGGUGGGGCUACACACGUCAUACAAUGGCUGGUACAAAGGGUUGCCAACCCGCGAGGGGGAGCCAAUCCCAUAAAGCCAGUCGUAGUCCGGAUCGUAGUCUGCAACUCGACUACGUGAAGUCGGAAUCGCUAGUAAUCGUGGAUCAGAAUGUCACGGUGAAUACGUUCCCGGGUCUU
rnacentral:rRNA from 1 species